rnacentral:rRNA from 1 species
UACGAAGGGGGCUAGCGUUGUUCGGAAUUACUGGGCGUAAAGCGCACGUAGGCGGAUACUUAAGUCAGGGGUGAAAUCCCGGGGCUCAACCCCGGAACUGCCUUUGAUACUGGGUAUCUCGAGUCCGGAAGAGGUGAGUGGAAUUCCGAGUGUAGAGGUGAAAUGCGCAGAUAUCGGGAAGAACACCCGUGGCGAAGGCGGCACUCUGGGACGGUACUGACGCUGAGACGCGAAAGCGUGGGGAGCGAACAGG